UGAUCACAGGAAUCUCCAAAAAGCAUUUCUUUAGUUCUGCUGGAGUCUGAAGGGUUAAAUAGAAAGGGGUGAAACUGAAAGCUGUUGUAACGGACCGCUUUUAAAAAGGAGAGCAGAGAGGAUUUCAAAGCUCAGCGCUUUAUACUUCAAGUUUUGACUGAUCAGGAUGGACCCUCAAAACGUCAGCAGUGAAGGACUGCCUGACUCAGGACUGCAGACAUUCAAAGAAGAACAUCCAGAGCCCAGCUGUGUGUCUAUGAAGAGCAGCCGCUCGAUGUUUCAGCCUCCUGUAUUCAGUAAUGAAAGAAGCAGUGCUGACUUUAGCUGUGGAAGGGAUGUGCGAUUCCAGGAUCAGUCCAGGUGUGGAGUGUGUGAGCAGAUUCAGACAGAUCCAGUCUCUAUCACAUGUGGACACACGUUCUGUAGGCAGUGCAUUAACAGCUACUGGGACCAGUCUGCUCCACCAGGAGACUUUGCUUGUCCCCGGUGCAAAAAGAGACCUAAAACACGUCCAGUUCUGUAUCCACUUAUGCAGGAAACCAUGAAGCAGCAUUACUGCCCGCCAGUGAAUGAUGUCUUACCCACAGUCAUAGAGAAACACA
rnacentral:lncRNA from 1 species